GGGGGGCAAGGGAGGGCAAUUGCCCCCCCUAAAAUUUGGAAAAUAUCCAAGGACUUAUAUGUAAUUAAAUUUUUUAUAGGGGGUUAAGUGUAAUUUUCACAAUAUAUUAAUAUUUUUUAAGGGUUAAUAUAUAAAUUUCACAAUAUUUAUAUACUAUAUAAAUUUUACAAUAUAUGUAAUUUUAAGUUUAAUUACAUAUAAAACUCUAAAAACUUAAAUAUCCCUAAAUUUCUUCCCCAAAUCUUCUUAAUCCCUAAACCUCUCCCCAAAUUUUCUAAAUCCUUAAACCUCUCCCCCAAAUUUCUAAAUCCCUAAACCUCUCCCCCAAACCCAAAACCCACGAUAUUUCCCCAAUAUCCUCCAAAUUUCCCCAAUAUCCCCAAAACCCACGAUUUCUCCCAAAAUCUCCCCAAUAUUAUUUCCCCAAUCUCAUUUUCCGCCCCAUCCUCCAAUCUCGUUUCCCCCCAUCUAAUUUCCUUCAAUCUUGUUUCCCCCAAUCUCCUUCCCCAAAACUCACGACUUCCCCCAAUCUCUCCUCCUCCCAUCCACCUCACGAUCAUCUCAGGGUCAACCGGCCAAGCUCUCACGUUCUGACCACCGUCCAUCGAGAUUCAGUUAUUGUGCCACAGCCCACAGGACACCACCACCAUCGGAUUUCACUGCCUUCAGUUCGUCUCCACUCUCCAGAGUCCAGUCUCCGCUACUCUCUAGCCUUUAGGCUCUAGGUAUGUCCGUCUAUCUUGAAUUCUUGAUCCGUUUGUGUUUAACCUAGCUUGAUCCGGAAAAAAAUGUACCAUUUUAAAACAGGAUAAUGAACCAUUUGCAAAAAAUUGAAUUGAACUAUCAUCAACCUGAAAAAAUAUGAAUUUUCAUCAUUCCAUGUGAUUUUUUAAAACAGGGACCUACAUUGAUUAAAUAUCCAUGUGAAUUUUAUUUCUUUCUUUAAUUAAUUAAAGAGGAACCAUUUUAUUUAUUUCUUUAAUGUGAUUCCCACAUUAAAACUCGUCUCAGAAAUCGCCUUGGUGAUAGUUUGAUGAAUGAUUGUUUAGUAACAUAUAUCGAGAAAGAUAUUUUUAAAACUAUAGACAACGAAGUUAUUUUAAAAAUAUUUAAUGAUAUGUGUUUUCGUCGUAGGACAUUGAAGUAAUGUAAAAUGUAUUUGAAAUUUUUAUUGUUAAUUAAAUAAAUGUAUUUAUUUUUAAUUUGAAUAUUAAUUAAUGUAUUGAAUAUUAAUUAUAUAAUGAAUGUAUUGAUUUUUUAUAGGUUUUUAUAAUCAAUUAUAUGAAUAGGUCAUGCCAAAAUUUGUAUAGGUUUUUUAAUUAGUACAAAAAAAUUUUUUCGCCUUCGGCGAAUCUUGCCCCCCCU
rnacentral:lncRNA from 1 species